rnacentral:rRNA from 1 species
AGAGUUUGAUCAUGGCUCAGAAUCAACGCUGGCGGCGUGCCUAACACAUGCAAGUCGAACGCGGUUAUUCAGCAAUGGAUAACUGAGUGGCGAACGGGUGAGUAACACGUGGGUGACCUACCUUCGAGUGGGGGAUAACGUCCCGAAAGGGACGCUAAUACCGCAUAACAUCCUGCCUUUGAACAGGCGGAGAUCAAAGCCGGGGAUCGCAAGACCUGGCGCUUGAUGAGGGGCCCGCGCCUGAUUAGCUAGUUGGUGGGGUAAUGGCUCACCAAGGCGACGAUCAGUAUCCGGCCUGAGAGGGCGGACGGACACACUGGGACUGAGACACGGCCCAGACUCCUACGGGAGGCAGCAGUGGGGAAUUGUUCGCAAUGGGCGCAAGCCUGACGACGCAACGCCGCGUGGAGGAUGAAGGUCUUCGGAUUGUAAACUCCUGUUGCUCGGGACGAAAAGCGUCGACCUAACACGUCGACGUCUGACGGUACCGAGUGAGGAAGCCCCGGCUAACUCUGUGCCAGCAGCCGCGGUAAUACAGAGGGGGCAAGCGUUGUUCGGAAUUACUGGGCGUAAAGGGCGCGUAGGCGGCCUGCUAAGUCGAACGUGAAAUCCCUGGGCUCAACCCAGGAACUGCGUCCGAUACUGGUUGGCUUGAAUCCGGGAGAGGGACGUGGAAUUCCAGGUGUAGCGGUGAAAUGCGUAGAUAUCUGGAGGAACACCGGUGGCGAAGGCGACGUCCUGGACCGGCAUUGACGCUGAGGCGCGAAAGCCAGGGGAGCAAACGGGAUUAGAUACCCCGGUAGUCCUGGCCCUAAACGAUGAAUGCUUG